CUCGUUCUUUGCCUGUGGCGUGUCCCGGCAGUCCAGGGGCUCUGGAGAAGAAAAAAAAAAAAACUCAAAGAAAGUCGCGACUUCUCGUCUUCUCCCCCGGGCGUUGAGGAGGUGACAACGCGGCGUGUUUGGACUAUACAAGAGAAUGUGAACGGCUUUCAGAGGGUGCUUGUGAACACAUUUGGUGUGUAAAGAAAAGCUGGAACCCCCCAAAUAAAUGCAGUGUCGGUAGGGAGCGAGUUUCUUGAAGAGUCACCUGCUAAACUACACUAGCAUCAUCACUACACCACCAGGUUCCAGAUGCUAGCAUGAUACCAACCAGACUUCCUUGGACAGACAACUCCACCAAUGUGUCCUGGAGCCCAGAUUCCCCAGAACCCCGCUCUUCUAGGGAAGGAGACAGGCAGGCUGGGAGUAUGGAUCGACCUGUCAAUGCCCAUGUUCAGUGGGGAAGCAAUUACAGAAGCCAGACCUUCUACUCUCUGCACCCCAUAAUGUCCCUGGGUCCUUACUGCCAGUGGGAUAAAUUAUAGGAAAGCUAUCAGGGGGAGAAGAUGGGAUAUGGAGUUCUAGUGGUGGGA